GACAGAGGGGGCAAGCGUUGCUCGGAAUUACUGGGCGUAAAGGGCGUGUAGGCGGGAUGGCAAGUCGGUCGUGAAAUCCUUCGGCUCAACCGAAGAACGUCGAUCGAUACUGCUGUUCUUGAGGGUUGCAGAGGAGACUGGAAUUCCCGGUGUAGCGGUGAAAUGCGUAGAUAUCGUAAGGAAGACCAGUGGCGAAGGCGAGUCUCUGGACAGUUACUGACGCUGAGGCACGAAGGCCAGGGGAGCAAACGGG
rnacentral:rRNA from 1 species